rnacentral:rRNA from 1 species
CAGCCGCCGCGGUAAUACGAAGGGUGCAAGCGUUACUCGGAAUUACUGGGCGUAAAGCGUGCGUAGGUGGUGGUUUAAGUCCGUUGUGAAAGCCCUGGGCUCAACCUGGGAAUUGCAGUGGAUACUGGGUCACUAGAGUGUGGUAGAGGAUAGUGGAAUUUCCGGUGUAGCAGUGAAAUGCGUAGAGGUCGGAAGGAACAUCUGUGGCGAAGGCGACUAUCUGGGCCAACACUGACACUGAGGCACGAAAGCGUGGGGAGCAAACAGGAUUAGAGACCCGGGUAGUCCCUGUCUCUUAUAC